rnacentral:rRNA from 1 species
GAUCAAGCGAAUAAGUGCAUACGGCGGAUGCCUUGGCGAUUACAGGCGAUGAAGGACGUGGUAGUCUGCGAUAAGUUACGGGGAGCUGACAAACGAGCUUUGAUCCGUAAAUUUCCGAAUGGGGGAACCCACUGUUUUUAAACAGUAUCCUGCUCUGAAUACAUAGGAGCAGCGAAGCGAACCGAGUGAACUGAACCAUCUAAGUAACUCGAGGAAAAGAAAUCAACCGAGAUUCCGGAAGUAGUGGCGAGCGAAACCGGAGCAGCCUGGACGAGAUAGUCAGUUAGAUAGUUGAAGUGCCUGGAAAGGCACACCGUAGUGGGUGAUAGUCCCGUAAACGAAAUCUAAUUGGUGGUACUAAGCGUCGAAUAAGUAGGGCGGGACACGUGAAAUCCUGUCUGAAUAUGGGGGACCAUCCUCCAAGGCUAAAUACUCGUAAUCGACCGAUAGCGAACAAGUACCGUGAGGGAAAGGCGAAAAGAACCCCGGAAGGGGAGUGAAAUAGAUCCUGAAACCGUAUGCAUACAAACAGUAGGAGCGGGCUUUGUCCCGUGACUGCGUACCUUUUGUAUAAUGGGUCAGCGACUUACAUUCAGUGGCAAGCUUAACCGAGUAGGGGAGGCGUAGCGAAAGCGAGUCCGAAUAGGGCGAUUUAGUCGCUGGGUGUAGACCCGAAACCAGGCGAUCUAUCCAUGGUCAGGUUGAAGGUAAGGUAACACUUACUGGAGGACCGAACCCACUAAUGUUGAAAAAUUAGGGGAUGAACUGUGGAUCGGAGUGAAAGGCUAAACAAGCUUGGAGAUAGCUGGUUCUCUUCGAAAACUAUUUAGGUAGUGCCUCGUAUAUUACUGUCGGGGGUAGAGCACUGUUAUGGCUAGGGGGUCACAGCGACUUACCAAACCAUGGCAAACUCCGAAUACCGACAAGUACAGUACGGGAGACAGACAUCGGGUGCUAACGUCCGGUGUCAAGAGGGAAACAACCCAGACCGCCAGCUAAGGUCCCUAAAACGGGCUAAGUGGGAAACGAAGUGGGAAGGCAUAGACAGUCAGGAGGUUGGCUUAGAAGCAGCCACCCUUUAAAGAAAGCGUAAUAGCUCACUGAUCGAGUCGUCCUGCGCGGAAGAUGUAACGGGGCUAAGCCAGUUACCGAAGCUGCGGACGUGAAUUUAUUCACGUGGUAGGAGAGCGUUCUGUAAGCCUGUGAAGGUGUGUCGAGAGGCAUGCUGGAGGUAUCAGAAGUGAGAAUGCUGACAUGAGUAGCGAUAAAGGGAGUGAAAAGCUCCCUCGCCGUAAGUCCAAGGUUUCCUGCGCAACGUUCAUCGGCGCAGGGUGAGUCGGCCCCUAAGGCGAGGCAGAGAUGCGUAGCUGAUGGGAAGCGGGUUAAUAUUCCCGCACCAUUGUAAAGUGCGAUGGGGGGACGGAUGACGGAAGGUCAUCGAGGUGUUGGAUUACCUCGUUGAGGCAUCAUAGAAGGCGCUUAGGCAAAUCCGGGCGCGUAAUUCAAGGGUGUCGCUGAAUGGGUCUACGGACCCAAACUGAUUGAAAGUUGUCCCAAGAAAAGCCUCUAAGCUUCAGCUUUACAAGACCGUACCGCAAACCGACACAGGUGGACGGGAUGAAUAUUCCAAGGCGCUUGAGAGAACUCAGGAGAAGGAACUCGGCAAAUUGAUACCGUAACUUCGGGAGAAGGUAUGCCCUGGUAGUGUGAUGUGCCUGCGCACAAAGCAUGAAGGGGCCGCAGUGAAUCGGUGGCUGCGACUGUUUAUUAAAAACACAGCACUCUGCAAACACGAAAGUGGACGUAUAGGGUGUGACGCCUGCCCGGUGCCGGAAGGUUAAGUGAUGGGGUGCAAGCUCUUGAUCGAAGCCCCGGUAAACGGCGGCCGUAACUAUAACGGUCCUAAGGUAGCGAAAUUCCUUGUCGGGUAAGUUCCGACCUGCACGAAUGGCGUAACGAUGGCCACACUGUCUCCUCCUGAGACUCAGCGAAGUUGACGUGGUUGUGAAGAUGCAAUCUACCCGCGGCUAGACGGAAAGACCCCAUGAACCUUUACUGUAGCUUUGCAUUGGAUCGUGAACCGGCCUGUGUAGGAUAGGUGGGAGGCACUGAAGCGUGGACGCUAGUCUGCGUGGAGCCAACCUUGAAAUACCACCCUGGUCUGUUUAUGGUUCUAACCUAGGUCCGUUAUCCGGAUCGGGGACCGUGCAUGGUGGGCAGUUUGACUGGGGCGGUCUCCUCCUAAAGUGUAACGGAGGAGUUCGAAGGUACGCUAGAGACGGUCGGAAAUCGUCUUGAUAGUGCAAUGGCAUAAGCGUGCUUAACUGUGAGACUGACACGUCGAACAGGUACGAAAGUAGGACAUAGUGAUCCGGUGGUUCUGUAUGGAAGGGCCAUCGCUCAACGGAUAAAAGGUACUCUGGGGAUAACAGGCUGAUACCGCCCAAGAGUUCAUAUCGACGGCGGUGUUUGGCACCUCGAUGUCGACUCAUCUCAUCCUGGGGCUGUAGCCGGUCCCAAGGGUAUGGCUGUUCGCCAUUUAAAGAGGUACGUGAGUUGGGUUUAAAACGUCGUGAGACAGUUUGGUCCCUAUCUGCCGUGGGCGUUGGAUACUUGACGGAGCCUGCUCCUAGUACGAGAGGACCGGAGUGGACGUACCGCUGGUGUAUCGGUUGUCAUGCCAAUGGCAUCGCCGAGUAGCUAAGUACGGAAGAGAUAACCGCUGAAGGCAUCUAAGCGGGAAACUCGUCUGAAGAUUAGGUAUCCCGGGGGCUUGACCCCCCUGAAGGGUCGUUCGAGACCAGGACGUUGAUAGGCUGGGUGUGGAAGUGCAGUAAUGCACGUAGCUAACCAGUACUAAUUGCCCGUGCGGCUUGAUCCU